rnacentral:misc_RNA from 1 species
GAUGAAGAACGUAGCGAAAUGCGAUAAGUAAUGUGAAUUGCAGAAUUCAGUGAAUCAUCGAAUCUUUGAACGCACCUUGCGCCCUUUGGCUAUUCCGAAGGGCAUGCCUGUUCGAGCGUCAUUUGUACCCUCAAGCUAUGCUUGGUGUUGGGUGUUUGUCCUCUCCAUUGCGAUUGGACUCGCCUCAAAGACAUUGGCAGCCAGUGUAUUGGUCUUGAAGCGCAGCACAUUUUGCGAUUCUUGCUGAUACUCACUAGCAUCCAGUAAGCCUCUUUAACACUUUUGACCUCGGAUCAGGUAGGGAUACCCGCUGAACUUAAGCAUAUCAAUAAGCGGAGGA